rnacentral:rRNA from 1 species
GACGAACGCUGGCGGCGUGCUUAACACAUGCAAGUCGAACGUGAUUUUUGUGGAAAUUCUUUCGGGAAUGGAAAUGAAAUGAAAGUGGCGAACGGGUGAGUAACACGUGAGCAACCUACCUUACACAGGGGGAUAGCCGUUGGAAACGACGAUUAAUACCGCAUGAGACCACAGAAUCGCAUGAUAUAGGGGUCAAAGAUUUAUCGGUGUAAGAAGGGCUCGCGUCUGAUUAGCUAGUUGGAAGGGUAAAGGCCUACCAAGGCGACGAUCAGUAGCCGGUCUGAGAGGAUGAACGGCCACAUUGGAACUGAGACACGGUCCAAACUCCUACGGGAGGCAGCAGUGGGGAAUAUUGCACAAUGGGGGGAACCCUGAUGCAGCGACGCCGCGUGAGCGAAGAAGGUUUUCGAAUCGUAAAGCUCUGUCC